rnacentral:rRNA from 1 species
ACGGAGGGAGCAAGCGUUGUUCGGAUUUACUGGGCGUAAAGGGCGUCUAGGCGGGUUGGUCAGUCAGGUGUGAAACCCCCCGGCUCAAACGGGGAUCUGCACUUGAUACUGCCAAUUUUGAGUACGGAAGAGGAAAGCGGAAUUCCUGGUGUAGCGGUGAAAUCCGAAAAUCCCAGGAAGAACACCGGUGGCGAAGGCGCCUAUCUGGUACGAUCCUGACUCUGAAGCGCGAAAGUGUGGGGAGCAAUCAG